rnacentral:rRNA from 1 species
AUGAUGAAAGACCGGUUUGCAAAAUGUGUGGUGCAAAAGGUUUUGGAGAAUUGCGACGACCACACCUGUGAGCUGAUUCUUUCAUGUAUCAAGGUCCUCCUGAACACAGUAAAAAGAUGGGGACUAGUUACCUACCUCACACAGGACAGGAAACCUAGAGUUCUGCAGCGUGUCGAGGCAUAA